rnacentral:sRNA from 1 species
AUGUACUACGCGCGCACUCCGAUUAUGAGUGCGCCGUCCAUACCCAGCUGACGACUGCGCACUACGUUUUGCUAGCC